rnacentral:rRNA from 1 species
AACGCUAGCUACAGGCUUAACACAUGCAAGUCGAGGGGCAGCAUAAAAGUAGCAAUACUUUGGUGGCGACCGGCGCACGGGUGAGUAACGCGUAUGCAACCUACCUAUCAGAGGGGAAUAACCCGGCGAAAGUCGGACUAAUACCGCAUAAAACAGGGGCACCGCAUGGUGAUAUUUGUUAAAGAAAUUCGCUGAUAGAUGGGCAUGCGUUCCAUUAGGUAGUUGGUGAGGUAACGGCUCACCAAGCCGACGAUGGAUAGGGGAACUGAGAGGUUGGUCCCCCACACUGGUACUGAGACACGGACCAGACUCCUACGGGAGGCAGCAGUGAGGAAUAUUGGUCAAUGGGCGGGAGCCUGAACCAGCCAAGUCGCGUGAAGGAAGAAGGAUCUAUGGUUCGUAAACUUCUUUUGCAGGGGAAUAAAGUGCAGGACGUGUCCUGUUUUGUAUGUACCCUGAGAAUAAGGAUCGGCUAACUCCGUGCCAGCAGCCGCGGUAAUACGGAGGAUCCGAGCGUUAUCCGGAUUUAUUGGGUUUAAAGGGUGCGUAGGUGGUUUGAUAAGUCAGCGGUGAAAGUUUGCAGCUUAACUGUAAAAAUGCCGUUGAAACUGUCGGACUUGAGUGUAAAUGAGGUAGGCGGAAUGCGUGGUGUAGCGGUGAAAUGCUUAGAUAUCACGAAGAACUCCGAUUG